UGUCCAAGAGAACAGGCCUGCUGUUUUCUGGGAACACACACAACAGUAGAAUAAGGGGCAACAUGCCAAUUUAUUCAGAAUUAAGCUUUGCACUCAGGGAGAGUUGAAAUGAAGCUUCACCUAGCUCAAGGACCAAAUUAAUCACCACUGAACUCAGAUUUUACACACACUGAGAGAGAAACCAGUAGUUUUCAGUGAAUGAUGUUCAGCAUAUACUUACAUCCCAAACUGAAAGAAAUCUAAUAAUAGCAAGGAGACUUUUCUGCUAGCUGGGAUUUUCAGGAGAUAAUUACACCCCUGGAGGAUUAAAGUUUCCUGCUGGAGCCUCCCAUUGACUGAGCAUUUAGAAGCCAGUGGUCCAGGGAGUCUAUGAGGCAGUCCAUGGAGGUCAGGCUUGCAAGUAUAAAUCAAGCCAUCCAAGAAAUUUACUGAGGACCCACUAUGUGCCUAACAAGGUGCUUCGUAUUGGUGAUACAAAGAGAGGACACAGUGACCCAGCCUUCAAGAACCUUUCAGCUUACUAAGGAAGAUAGAUCUUGGGU